UUUAGACUGAUCAUUACUGGGUACAUUAUUGUUUAAACGAAACUAUUUUAUCUUAUUUUUGUAAAAACGGGGUCUUGCACCGAACACAGUAGUUCACACCUGUAAUCCCAGUGCUUUAAGAGGCCGAGGUGGGAGAGUUGUGUGAGCCCAGGAGUUUGAGACCAGCCUGGGGAGCAUAAUGAGACCCUAUCUCUACAAAAAAAAUUUUCAAAUGACUAAGUGUGGUGGCACGUGUCUACAGUCCUAGCUACUUGGGAGGCUGAGACAAGAGAAUACUUGAGCCCAGAAGUUGGAGGUUGCAGUGAGCCGGGGUCAGGCCACUGCAACCUGGGCGACAAAAUAAGACCCUCUCUCAAAGGCAAAAACAAAAACAGGAUCUUGCUCUGUAGCUCUGGCUGGUUAUGAACUCAUGACCAAGCGAUCCUCCUGCCUCAGCCUCCUGAGUAGCUGGGAUUACAAGCACGUACCACUGUAUUGGCAAAACUAUUUUAUUAAAAGUGAAAAAUGAGGUGGGGUACAGCGGCUCAUGGCUGUAAUCAUUUGAGAUUAGCCUGGGCAGCAUAAUGAGACCUUGUCUCUACAAAAAGAUCAAAAACUUAGCUGGGCAUGGUGGUGCGUGCCUGUAAUCCCAGCUACUCAGGAGUCUGAGGGGGGGAGGACCGCUUGAGCCCAGUAAGUUGAGGCUGCAGUGAGCUAUGAUUUUGCCACUGCACUCCAGCAUGAGUGACAGAGCGAGACUCUGUCUCAAAAAACAGAAAAGUGAAAAAUGGCUUUGUGGUAGACCACAAGUAUAUCUGCCACACCUGGCUUGUGGCCACAGGUCUCUUUGGGGAGAUUGUGAGGAAAAUGCCAGGAUGAAUCUGUGCUGUUUUUACAGGGCCCUCCUUAAGGGUGCAUGCCCCACCUCGUUCAGGGGCCCCUGAGUUUGCAAACUGAUUUUUAUCUAGAAAAUUGGUGAGGGUUUCCUCUCUGUUGCAGUAGAGUCUCUGUCAGUUGGACCUCACACUCUCUUGUUAUAUAGGUGGGACUCUACUGGCCUCUCCAUCUAUUUUGGUACUAGGGGUCUGGUGAUCGGGUCCCUAUUGCUAAAGAUUCCUGCAGGUUGCUAAAGAUCCCUCCAGGUCUGACCAUUCAGAUAACCUGUAAAUCCUGCAUUCCCAGUCUGUGCUCCUCUCUCUCCUCUGGCAGCUCAACACUGCUGCAUGAGCCACUGCACCCAGCCUGUGUGUAUUUAUUUUUUGAGAUGGAGUCUUGCUCUCCUGAGUAGCUGGGAUUACAGGCACCCGCCAUCAUGCCCAGCUACUUUUUGUAUUUUUGUAGGGAUGGGGUUUCACCAUGUUGGCCAGUCUGAUCUUGAACUCCUGACCUCAGGUGAUCCACCUGCUUCGGCCUCCCAAAAUGCUGGGAUUACAGGCGCGGGCCACCGCGCCCGGCCUCAACAUUUAUUUUGAAUGAAUAAAAAUAAAUACAUCUUCUUAAGGCUUUGGAUUCUUUCCUCUGUGUUAUAUCAGGGAACUUUUGGCACCUUAACUGCAUUGAGUGGGAUCCAGUUUUGUUGUGGAGUCUCGCUCUGUCGCCUAGGCUGGAGUGCAGUGGAGCAAUCUCGGCUCACUGCAAGCUCCGCCUCCCGGGUUCACGCCAUGCUCUUGCCUCAGCCUCUGGAGUAGCUGGGACUACAGUCGCCCGCCACCACACCUGGCUAAUUUUUUUGUGUUUUUAGUAGAGACGGGAUUUCACUGUGUUAGCCAGGAUGGUCUCGAUCUCCUGACCUCGUGAUCCGCCCGCCUCGGCCUCCCAAAGUGCUGGGAUUACAGGAGUGAGCCACCGCGCCCGGCUGGGAUCCAGUUUUUAUUCAGCCAACCAAAUAGACGUGUGGAACAACCCCCAACAGCUUGAGCUGGUGCAUGGAAUCCAAAUCCUUGCUAAGUGCACCCAUAUUGAUAAAUUCAGCCCAAUAUAAACUUAUGUUCUUAUCUCCUUGGUCUAGGACUUCAGUCUGUUCCCACACAUAUUCUCUAUAUUUUGGC
rnacentral:lncRNA from 1 species